rnacentral:lncRNA from 1 species
CCAUUUUCGGCCACGGUGAGUUCUUGCUCUCCCAUGGUUCAUUUUAGAUGUUUUUCCUUCGAUCUUUCAUGUUUUAACAAGCUUUAUGUUGAUUUGAAGAUAUUUGAACAAAAGAGUGAGUUUUGGAAGCUUGGAGACCAAAGAGUUGAGAUCUCUCCCAUCUCCAAGUUGGAUCGUCUCUCCUCUCGUUCUUCAAGAGGUAAGAGUAGAUCCAUAGUUCCUUUAAUGUUUUAAG